rnacentral:rRNA from 1 species
AUUGAACGCUGGCGGCAUGCCUUACACAUGCAAGUCGAACGGCAGCACGGGAGCAAUCCUGGUGGCGAGUGGCGAACGGGUGAGUAAUAUAUCGGAACGUGCCCAGUCGUGGGGGAUAACGUAGCGAAAGCUACGCUAAUACCGCAUACGAUCUGUGGAUGAAAGCGGGGGAUCGCAAGACCUUGCGCGAUUGGAGCGGCCGAUAUCAGAUUAGGUAGUUGGUGAGGUAAAGGCUCACCAAGCCGACGAUCUGUAGCUGGUCUGAGAGGACGACCAGCCACACUGGGACUGAGACACGGCCCAGACUCCUACGGGAGGCAGCAGUGGGGAAUUUUGGACAAUGGGCGCAAGCCUGAUCCAGCAAUGCCGCGUGCAGGAUGAAGGCCUUCGGGUUGUAAACUGCUUUUGUACGGAGCGAAAAGGCUUCCACUAAUACUGGGGGCUCAUGACGGUACCGUAAGAAUAAGCACCGGCUAACUACGUGCCAGCCGCCGCCGUAAUAC